rnacentral:rRNA from 1 species
UGUUUGAUGUUCUAACGUGGACCCGUGAUCCGGGUUGCGGACAGUGUCUGGUGGGUAGUUUGACUGGGGCGGUCUCCUCCUAAAGAGUAACGGAGGAGCACGAAGGUUGGCUAAUCCUGGUCGGACAUCAGGAGGUUAGUGCAAUGGCAUAAGCCAGCUUGACUGCGAGCGUGACGGCGCGAGCAGGUGCGAAAGCAGGUCAUAGUGAUCCGGUGGUUCUGAAUGGAAGGGCCAUCGCUCAACGGAUAAAAGGUACUCCGGGGAUAACAGGCUGAUACCGCCCAAGAGUUCAUAUCGACGGCGGUGUUUGGCACCUCGAUGUCGGCUCAUCACAUCCUGGGGCUGAAGUAGGUCCCAAGGGUAUGGCUGUUCGCCAUUUAAAGUGGUACGCGAGCUGGGUUUAGAACGUCGUGAGACAGUUCGGUCCCUAUCUGCCGUGGGCGCUGGAGAACUGAGGGGGGCUGCUCCUAGUACGAGAGGACCGGAGUGGACGCAUCACUGGUGUUCGGGUUGUCAUGCCAAUGGCACUGCCCGGUAGCUAAAUGCGGAAGAGAUAAGUGCUGAAAGCAUCUAAGCACGAAACUUGCCCCGAGAUGAGUUCUCCCUGAGACUUAGAGUCUCCUGAAGGAACGUUGAAGACGACGACGUUGAUAGGCCGGGUGUGUAAGCGCAGCGAUGCGUUGAGCUAACCGGUA